rnacentral:rRNA from 1 species
UACGAAGGGGGCUAGCGUUGUUCGGAAUUACUGGGCGUAAAGGGCGCGUAGGCGGCUAUUCAAGUCAGGCGUGAAAUCCCCGGGCUUAACCUGGGAAUUGCGUUUGAGACUGUAUGGCUUGAGUUCGGGAGAGGUGAGUGGAAUUCCCAGUGUAGAGGUGAAAUUCGUAGAUAUUGGGAAGAACACCAGUGGCGAAGGCGGCUCACUGGACCGACACUGACGCUGAGGCGCGAAAGCGUGGGGAGCAAACAGG